GAGUGAACGCUGGCGGCAGGCCUAACACAUGCAAGUCGAGCGGCAGCGCGGGGGCACCCCUGGCGGCGAGCGGCGGACGGGUGAGGAAUUCGUCGGAAUCUGCCUUUUUGUGGGGGAUAACGUAGGGAAACUUACGCUAAUACCGCAUACGUCCUACGGGAGAACGUGGGGGACCGCAGGGCCUCACGCAGAAAGAUGAGCCGACGACCGAUUAGCUAGUUGGUGGGGUAAAGGCCCACCAAGGCGACGAUCGGUAGCUGGUCUGAGAGGAUGAUCAGCCACACUGGAACUGAGACACGGCCCAGACUCCUACGGGAGGCAGCAGUGGGGAAUAUUGGACAAUGGGCGCAAGCCUGAUCCAGCCAUGCCGCGUGUGUGAAGAAGGCCUUCGGGUUGUAAAGCACUUUUGUCCGGAAAGAAAUCCCUGGAGCUAAUACCUUCGGGGGAUGACGGUACCGGAAGAAUAAGCACCGGCUAACUUCGUG
rnacentral:rRNA from 1 species